AGAGAACUGCGAAACCCAACCACCUAGGCAGACUUUUCAUUUCCCUACGCAUCUGAUACAGAGAAGCCCUUCAGGUGCUUUCAUUGAGGCGUUGAAAUCAUCCAAAAAUUCGUCUUAAUCUCCUCGGAGCUUCUAGAAGGGACCCUUUAGAUUCGGCGAAUACGCUUCAAUGUUUUGCCUAAACAUACCAAAUCUGAAAAGACCCAAAAAAUCUACUCUCCGAUCUGUUUACUGACAAGUUCAUUCUGAUAUGCUUGCCAUUUCCCAAACUGUUGAAUCGUCGACAGGCUGGUCACUAGGAACAUGAUUGUUGUCGAUCUUCUUCUACUGCCUUUUGCGCAUAAGAGGGAACCGCUCCAGCAAGAUAAGUUUCUUCAUUUUUUCUUAGUCCCUCUGUUGCCAAGAAAUGUGCAGCCCCGUUUGCAUGUUUUGACACAUAUUGAAAGACAGUCUUGAUACCGUUCACAUAUUGUUCUUAUGUUACAGAUAUAUGCCCCUAUCACUGACCUUUCAACUCUCUCUUCUUUUAGUUUCCGGAUCACAGCCAGGGAGUCGCCUUCGAUUUCCACCCUCAAGAAUCCCAGUUGUAAGCCCAUCUCAGCCGCUUGGAAGCAGGCCAUCGCCUCUGCUGCAAAAGGUGAAUGUAUGUUGACAUGCAUGAUAGUUUUUGACCAAAGAACAAGACCAGAAUCAUCCCUAAUAAUAAUCCUCGAACAAGAUUUGUUAUUUUGUUUACAAAAUCUUGCAUCGAAGUUUAUCUUUACGAAAUGUUCUUUUGGCAUCUUCCAACACACUAGAGUAGAAUGUUGUCCUUCAUGCAAUAGCUUAUUACGCGCAGUCCAUAUAGCCCACAUCGCACAACAGAACACACGACAAAGGCAAUCCUGAAACACAUGAUCCACCGUUUCAACACCAUUGUGACAUCGAGGGCAAUUUGCUGAACCAAUCAGUCUCCCGUAAUUCAAGUUAGCAUAAGUAGGUAGAAAAUUGUUUGUAAUCCUUCAGGCUGUAAUUUUAAUUUUGGAGGGCAGGUCUUGAUUCCAAAGUCUUUUGUACAGAUUUGUGUAGGGAUAGAUAAUUCCAUCAGUAGAAUUCCCAUGAUGAUUAUGUAAUAACCGUCUGUAAGCACUGCGCACUGUGUAUUCCCUUGUUGCUUCUCCACUCCAAGCUCGAAAAUCCUCAUGUGGAACUUGAUAUUUGAUUA